CUACGGGAGGCAGCAGUGGGGAAUCUUGCGCAAUGGGCGAAAGCCUGACGCAGCAACGCCGCGUGUGUGAUGAAGGUCUUCGGAUCGUAAAGCACUGUCGCGAGGGACGAAUAAGGGUCGGUCUAACAAGCCGGUCCGAUGACGGUACCUCGAGAGGAAGCACCGGCUAACUCUGUGCCAGCAGCCGCGGUAAUACAGAGGGUGCAAGCGUUGUUCGGAAUUAUUGGGCGUAAAGCGCGUGUAGGCGGCUUAGUAAGUUGGGUGUGAAAGCCCUCGGCUUAACCGAGGAAGUGCGCCCAAAACUGCUUGGCUUGAGUACCGGAGAGGGUGGCGGAAUUCCCGGUGUAGAGGUGAAAUUCGUAGAUAUCGGGAGGAACACCAGCGGCGAAGGCGGCCACCUGGACGGAUACUGACGCUGAGACGCGAAAGCGUGGGGAGCAAACAGGAUUAGAUACCCCGGU
rnacentral:rRNA from 1 species